CAGAAGCGUUAUCACAUGAUGUAUUAAUGAAUGAAGAUCAGCAGAAGCAGAAGGAUGCAGGAAUACAUGAACAUGAUUAAACAUCUCCAACAGUAAACACUGAACAGUGAAGCUGAGGUCUUCCAGGCUGGAUAAGAGAGAAAGUAUGAUGGAUGAUCUUCUCUUCCUGAUGCUACAAUACAAACCUAAACCGAGUCUUUACUAACUAUAUUACAUGACCAAAAAUUCUGGUAUAGAUAUAAAAAGCUCCAACUAACAAUGAGAGCAGGACGAUGAUCUGAAAAAUCCACACCGUCACAAACACCAAAAACGCUGCUGAAAAAAAGAGAGAGAUGCUCUGUUUAAAAAUCCUCUAUAUACCAGAAUGUUCUUUAUUGGAAAGGUGAUUUGAGACCUUGGUAUACAUGCACCUGUCCCAACUUCUUUUGAAAAGUGUUACAUCUAUUACAUGUAUAAUUAGCAGAUUUCCUACAACAAA